UUCGGGUCUAGUGGCGCACGGGUGCGUAACGCGUGGGAAUCUGCCCUUGGGUUCGGAAUAACAGUGAGAAAUUGCUGCUAAUACCGGAUGAUGUCUUCUGACCAAAGAUUUAUCGCCCAGGGAUGAGCCCGCGUAGGAUUAGCUAGUUGGUGGGGUAAUGGCCUACCAAGGCGACGAUCCUUAGCUGGUCUGAGAGGAUGAUCAGCCACACUGGGACUGAGACACGGCCCAGACUCCUACGGGAGGCAGCAGUGGGGAAUAUUGGACAAUGAGCGAAAGCCUGAUCCAGCAAUGCCGCGUGAGUGAUGAAGGCCUUAGGGUUGUAAAGCUCUUUUACAAGAGAUGAUUAUGACAGUACCUGGAGAAUAAGCCCCGGCUAACUCCGUGCCAGCAGCCGCGGUAAU
rnacentral:rRNA from 1 species